AAUAAAAGUUUUUAUUUUCAGCUAGUUUACAAGCUAAAACGACAACACCAGUACCUUUAACAACGACAACAGCAGGUACAACAACACCACUACAAUGCAUAGAUCGUGAAACAAAGUGCAGUGAUCCAUUUAUUCAAUCGAUCGUGUGUAAAGCGACAGACCAGUUUCACAAAGAUUAUGCCCUGCAGACGUGUCCAAAGGCUUGUGAUUUGUGCGAUGAGCUCCUUGGAUCAAUAGGUACAGCGUUUGGGCGUUAAUCUAUACAGGAGAGAUGCUUGCAUGCUUGUUGUCUGAUGAUUAAAUGGUUUUGUGUCAGUUUA